rnacentral:rRNA from 1 species
UACGUAGGGUGCAAGCGUUGUCCGGAAUUAUUGGGCGUAAAGAGCUCGUAGGCGGUUUGUCGCGUCUGCUGUGAAAACUCGGGGCUUAACCCUGGGCCUGCAGUGGGUACGGGCAGACUAGAGUGCGGUAGGGGAGACUGGAAUUCCUGGUGUAGCGGUGAAAUGCGCAGAUAUCAGGAGGAACACCGGUUGCGAAGGCGGGUCUCUGGGCCGUAACUGACGCUGAGGAGCGAAAGCGUGGGGAGCGAACAGG